UUUAUGGAGAGUUUGAUCCUGGCUCAGGAUGAACGCUGGCGGCGUGCCUAAUACAUGCAAGUCGAGCGAACGGAUGAGAAGCUUGCUUCUCUGAUGUUAGCGGCGGACGGGUGAGUAACACGUGGAUAACCUACCUAUAAGACUGGGAUAACUUCGGGAAACCGGAGCUAAUACCGGAUAAUAUUUUGAACCGCAUGGUUCAAAAGUGAAAGACGGUCUUGCUGUCACUUAUAGAUGGAUCCGCGCUGCAUUAGCUAGUUGGUAAGGUAACGGCUUACCAAGGCAACGAUGCAUAGCCGACCUGAGAGGGUGAUCGGCCACACUGGAACUGAGACACGGUCCAGACUCCUACGGGAGGCAGCAGUAGGGAAUCUUCCGCAAUGGGCGAAAGCCUGACGGAGCAACGCCGCGUGAGUGAUGAAGGUCUUCGGAUCGUAAAACUCUGUUAUUAGGGAAGAACAUAUGUGUAAGUAACUGUGCACAUCUUGACGGUGCCUAAUCAGAAAGCCACGGCUAACUACGUGCCAGCAGCCGCGGUAAUACGUAGGUGGCAAGCGUUAUCCGGAAUUAUUGGGCGUAAAGCGCGCGUAGGCGGUUUUUUAAGUCUGAUGUGAAAGCCCACGGCUCAACCGUGGAGGGUCAUUGGAAACUGGAAAACUUGAGUGCAGAAGAGGAAAGUGGAAUUCCAUGUGUAGCGGUGAAAUGCGCAGAGAUAUGGAGGAACACCAGUGGCGAAGGCGACUUUCUGGUCUGUAACUGACGCUGAUGUGCGAAAGCGUGGGGAUCAAACAGGAUUAGAUACCCUGGUAGUCCACGCCGUAAACGAUGAGUGCUAAGUGUUAGGGGGUUUCCGCCCCUUAGUGCUGCAGCUAACGCAUUAAGCACUCCGCCUGGGGAGUACGACCGCAAGGUUGAAACUCAAAGGAAUUGACGGGGACCCGCACAAGCGGUGGAGCAUGUGGUUUAAUUCGAAGCAACGCGAAGAACCUUACCAAAUCUUGACAUCCUUUGACA
rnacentral:rRNA from 1 species